rnacentral:rRNA from 1 species
ACGAACGCUGGCGGCAUGCCUAACACAUGCAAGUCGAACGAGACCUUCGGGUCUAGUGGCGCACGGGUGCGUAACGCGUGGGAACCUGCCCUUAGGUUCGGAAUAACUCCCCGAAAGGGGUGCUAAUACCGGAUAAUGUCUUCGGACCAAAGAUUUAUCGCCUUUGGAUGGGCCCGCGUUGGAUUGGCUAGUUGGUAGGGUAAAAGCCUACCAAGGCGACGAUCCAUAGCUGGUCUGGGAGGAUGAUCAGCCACACUGGGACUGAGACACGGCCCAGACUCCUACGGGAGGCAGCAGUGGGGAAUAUUGGACAAUGGGCGAAAGCCUGAUCCAGCAAUGCCGCGUGAGUGAUGAAGGCCUUAGGGUUGUAAAGCUCUUUUACCCGGGAUGAUAAUGACAGUACCGGGAGAAUAAGCUCCGGCUAACUCCGUG